AAAACAUUACUUAUUUACUUGUAUGUCAAUUAUACUCAAAAUUCACAGCUGGUUCUUGUUUAGUUUAUUCUUGUUACUAAUCUUCUUUUGUUUUUGUGUCUUUGGGUACUCUUAAUCGUUGUGUAUGCAAACUCGGAGCUGUGGAGCACUAACCUUGUUCCUUUGGAUCGUGAGAUUGAACGCACAGCUAGGUCACAUCGGAAACGUGCUUCGCAGCGUGUGGGAGAGGAAAAUAAGACUGAGUCCUUGCCUUUUCCACCGUUUCCACCACAAUCACUUAUUCCACCUUCACCUGUUGAGCUACAACAAGCAGUGAACACACCCCUUCCUCUUGUGCCUUU
rnacentral:lncRNA from 1 species